AAUUGUUUGUGGGGGGACCGUUUCGGUUGAGAAGGUAAAACCUGACCCUUUGAACUUGAUGUAGUUAACACUACCGUAGGGAAGCAAAUAUUUAAAAUGU
rnacentral:ncRNA from 1 species